UACGUAGGGUGCAAGCGUUGUCCGGAAUUAUUGGGCGUAAAGAGCUCGUAGGCGGUUUGUCGCGUCUGCUGUGAAAACUCAGGGCUUAACCCUGAGCUUGCAGUGGGUACGGGCAGACUAGAGUGCGGUAGGGGAGACUGGAAUUCCUGGUGUAGCGGUGAAAUGCGCAGAUAUCAGGAGGAACACCGGUGGCGAAGGCGGGGUCUCUGGGCCGUAACUGACGCUGGAGGAGCGGAAAAGCGUGGGGAGCGAACAGG
rnacentral:rRNA from 1 species